rnacentral:rRNA from 1 species
CAAUAGCGUAUAUUAAAGUUGUUGCGGUUAAAAAGCUCGUAGUUGGAUUUCUGUCGAAAACAACCGGUCCGCUCUAUGAGCGUGUAUCUGGUCUGGUUUUGGCAUCCUCGUGGGGAACAGCUCUGUGCUUGAUUGCAUGGACUGGUAUUCACGACUUUUACUUUGAGGAAAUUAGAGUGUUCACGGCAGGCAAGCGCCUUGAAUACAUUAGCAUGGAAUAAUAAUAUAGGACUUUGGUUUUAUUUUGUUGGUUUCUAGAACUAAAGUAAUGAUUAAUAGGGAUAAUUGGGGGCAUUUGUAUUAACGCGUCAGAGGUGGAAUUCUUGGAUUGCGUUACGACAAACUACUGCGAAAGCAUUUGUCCAAGGAUGUUUUCAUUGAUCAAGAACGAAAGUAAUGGGAUCGAAGAUGAUCAGAUACGU